CCGCAAAGCGGGACCACGGCGCCGCGACUACUUUAUAGGCGGACCUCCGCGCCCCGCCCACUCUGGCCCCAAACCAGUCACAGCGCACGCGCUCAGCCCUCCCCUACGGCCCCCCCGCGGCAGCCUCGGGACGCGAGUGGCAGGAAAUGACUGGGGGCGGGGCCAAGGGGCCGCGUGCGCCUCAGACUCCCCCCGCCCCGCAGCCGGGAAAGGUCUAGAACCCCGAAAUGUGGAAAAAACACAGCCUUUUUUUCACGGGGGCGUGGCCCGACGGUUGCAGGACGCGAAAUUGGCAAAAUGAUGUAAACAAGGACGGUCCUCACACCUGAACAGGGGGUGCCAGGCCCUGGGCCCCAUACUUUACAGGGCCCUAUUCUAUCCCUCUUCUGGCAUCAUCUUCCAUGGAGAAAAGAAUGUGUUGAAGCCAAGAAGAUGCUCCCACCAAGAACAUCAUCUCUCCUAGAACAGGGGUCUAAAGGACUUCCUAUGGCGUUUCUCGAAAGGCAAGACUGUCAUCACUUCCCCUGACAGUGCCAUAGGUGUGGGCGUCACCUGCUACACCAAAUCCAGUAAGCCCCCUCCAACCUGGCAGCAUCACUGCACGUUCUCAUGUGUGGCCCUGCCCUGGCAAAACCUCCAUACCCACUCGGCUAGAGGAGAUGGGAGCGGUCCUAGGAAAGAACGCCUCAGACAUCCACUGUUCUUACCCAAUGUUCAGCAUGUUUUCAAGCUUAAACAUUUCUCAGAUGGUUGUAUGAGUUUUAUUGAUUUCCAGAGCACUGAAAGAGUUGUUCUUGUCAGUUUUGUUCAGACUUAUGGUUGCUUUCUGGUGAGAGGAUCUGCUGACUUUUCACAUGCCUGUGGCUGGAAAUAUGCUUCCACCCCCAGUGUUUCUGAUUCAUUAGACCUGGGGUGCAAUUGGAGAAUUUGCAUAGCCCAAAAAAGAAGUGUGUUACAGUUCCUCCCCCACUCUCUCUCUUGCCCCUGCUUUCACCAUGUGAAAUGCCUGCUCCCACUUUGCGUUCCACCAUGAAUAAAAGCCCCCUGAUGCCCCCCAUGAAGCUGAGUUAUGUUGGUGCCAUGCUUAUACAGCCUGCAGAACUGGGAGCCAAUUAAACUUCUUUUCUUUAUAAAUUACCCAGUCUCAGGUAUUUCUUUAUAGCAAUGCAAGAAUGGCCUAAUACAGCACACCCAAAAUAGCAGCUCACAUGUGCUCACAAACCAG